GUAAUCAAUCUGUUCUGCAAGGCAGUUGUAUAAACUACUUAACAUGACUAUUCAGAAGUAUUUACUGGUGAUAAAAGACCUAGCGUGAACUCUGUGCUUAUAGGAGGGAAAUAUUGUCAUUGGGAAAAUUUCAAACCAAUGGAGGGCUGGCAGAGCAGUCACUGAAAGCAUGUAAGAACUUUAUGCACUGCGUUAUUCACUCCACAGACUGCUUUGGGAGUAAGAAGGCUUUAGUAACACCUUGCUUGCCUCAUGUCAUAUUGCACAGAAUUUAGCACUGAAUGCUGAUGGCAGCAAAGCAGCAGCUCAAGGGAGAUGAGUGACAGUCAUGCUCUGUGGCCUGUCUGUAGUCUAAAGUGCUGUGCACAGGUGAGCCCCAUAGCACUGCCCAGGAAAAGGAAGAAGGAAGGUGUCCCUCCAACGUUUGGCCAGCCUUCCCCUCUGCCUCCACCCCACCACCAUGAGGAGCUGAGGUUCCUCAUCACCACCUGCAUUUGAGCCUGGCUCUGCAGAAGCAGGGUGCUUGCACUCAGUCCUUCCAGGAACAUGACCACUAGUUCAGCAAUGACAACGCUGUUUACAGAUGUCAGGACAAACUCCUCGGCACGAAGUGUAAUGAGAGUACAACUCUGUCCAAAUGUCUUCACUGCCCUAUGUAGUAUUGAACAGUUUGUUACCAGAGCAUCUGAAAGAGUUACAGACACACCUGCAAUUACAGCCAAGGCACCUACACCUCUUUGCAGACAACUCCCUUACAGAGGAUGAAUAAGGAGACCCACCUUCUCACAGCGAUACUCUCCAAACCGGAUGCCUCGAAUGACUUGGUGGUAAAUGAGAUCAGUGCUGAUAGGAUCCUCCUGGGAGUUGUGCCAGGGGGUGAAGAUUUCCUUGCGG